UCCUCGUUGAAUUAAACAAGUCCUUGCACAAAUUUCGUUGAAUUCUUUUGGAUAGUCUAAGCAGGCUUGUCAACGUUGGAAGCAAAUCAAGAAAAAGAGAUGUAUCGUGAUGAGAUAUCAUGAAGUCGAGUUUUAAUUAAUGUCAAAUUGGAGAAGUAGACACUGUUUGGCCGCGAAAUCAAAGAAUCUUAUACUGUUUUUCCCUCCCUCUUAGAGGGUAUAAUAUAUAAGAAAUUGAAGUUCAAAACGGAUUGUGACCUGUACUAAAUUGAAAAGAAGAAGAAGACGAACACUUCACAUAAAGAAUCCUUGUUAUUUGAGAUAGAAGGUAAAUAAGGUUACAUCUGGUUGUGUCCUGAGAUAAAAAUGAUAAAUAUACAAAUGACAGACACUUGAUUAAAGUGACAUGAAAAAAAAAAA